rnacentral:rRNA from 1 species
UACGCAGGGGGCUAGCGUUGCUCGGAAUCACUGGGCGUAAAGCGCACGUAGGCGGAUUGUUAAGUCAGGGGUGAAAUCCUGGAGCUCAACUCCAGAACUGCCUUUGAUACUGGCAAUCUCGAGUUCGGGAGAGGUGAGUGGAACUGCGAGUGUAGAGGUGAAAUUCGUAGAUAUUCGCAAGAACACCAGUGGCGAAGGCGGCUCACUGGCCCGAUACUGACGCUGAGGUGCGAAAGCGUGGGGAGCAAACAGG